UACGGGGGGGGUAAGCGUUGUUCGGAAUUACUGGGCGUAAAGGGCUCGUAGGCGGCCAACUAAGUCAUACGUGAAAUCCCUCAGCUUAACUGGGGAACUGCGUGUGAUACUGGAUGGCUUGGAUUUGGGAGAGGGAUGCGGAAUUCCAGGUGUAGCGGUGAAAUGCGUAGAUAUCUGGAGGAACACCGGUGGCGAAGGCGGCUUUCUGGGCCUUACCUGACGCUGAGGAGCGAAAGCUGGGGGAGCGAACAGG
rnacentral:rRNA from 1 species